CAAUAGCGUAUAUUUAAGUUGCUGCAGUUAAAAAGCUCGUAGUUGGAUUUCGGGUGGGAAUGGCCGGUCCGCCGUUUCGGUGUGCACUUGCUACGCCCACCUUGCUGCCGGGGACGUGCUCUUGAGUUCACGCUCGGGACACGGAGUCGGCGAGGUUACUUUGAGUAAAUUAGAGUGUUCAAAGCAGGCCUACGCUCUGAAUACAUUAGCAUGGAAUAACACGAUAGGACUCUGGCCUAUCUUGUUGGUCUGUAGGACCGGAGUAAUGAUUAAGAGGGACAGUCGGUGGCAUUCGUAUUUCAUUGUCAGAGGUGAAAUUCUUGGAUUUAUGAAAGACGAACUACUGCGAAAGCAUUUGCCAAGGAUGUUUUCAUUAA
rnacentral:rRNA from 1 species